rnacentral:rRNA from 1 species
AGGACGAACGCUGGCGGCGUGCUUAACACAUGCAAGUCGAGCGGAAAGGCCCUUCGGGGUACUCGAGCGGCGAACGGGUGAGUAACACGUGAGUAACCUGCCCCUAGCUCUGGGAUAGCUCCGGGAAACCGGGAUUAAUACCAGAUACGACCACUUUAGACAUCUGUCGUGGUGGAAAGGAUUCCGGCUAGGGAUGGGCUCGCGGCCUAUCAGCUUGUUGGUGGGGUAACGGCCUACCAAGGCGACGACGGUAGCCGGCCUGAGAGGGCGACCGGCCACACUGGGACUGAGACACGGCCCAGACUCCUACGGGAGGCAGCAGUGGGGAUAUUGCGCAAUGGGCGAAAGCCUGACGCAGCGACGCCGCGUGGGGGAUGAAGGCCUUCGGGUUGUAAACCCCUUUCAGCAGGGACGAAGCGAAAGUGACGGUACCUGCAGAAGAAGCGCCGGCUAACUACGCGCCAGCAGCCGAC